rnacentral:rRNA from 1 species
AUUGAACGCUGGCGGCAUGCCUUACACAUGCAAGUCGAACGGUAACAGGUCUUCGGAUGCUGACGAGUGGCGAACGGGUGAGUAAUGCAUCGGAACGUGCCCAGUAGUGGGGGAUAGCCCGGCGAAAGCCGGAUUAAUACCGCAUACGACCUGAGGGUGAAAGGGGGGGAUCGCAAGACCUCUCGCUAUUGGAGCGGCCGAUGUCAGAUUAGCUAGUUGGUGGGGUAAAGGCCUACCAAGGCAACGAUCUGUAGUUGGUCUGAGAGGACGACCAGCCACACUGGGACUGAGACACGGCCCAGACUCCUACGGGAGGCAGCAGUGGGGAAUUUUGGACAAUGGGCGCAAGCCUGAUCCAGCAAUGCCGCGUGCAGGAAGAAGGCCUUCGGGUUGUAAACUGCUUUUGUCAGGGAAGAAAUCUUCUGGGUUAAUACCUCGGGAGGAUGACGGUACCUGAAGAAUAAGCACCGGCUAACUACGUGCCAGCCGCCGCGGUAA